UGUACUGGAAUGAGACGUAAACUUUCAAUUUAACCCCACCUUUGAGUUCUCUGUUCUGAACCGAACGAAAUCAUAUAAAAGAGAUAAUUCACAACAGACUCUCACCUGAUAACAAUACGAAACCUUCGAAUCUAUGACUCCCAUAACACUAACGGUACACAGAAACCAGAAUCCCGUGAUUCUAAGCAACCGAAAGAUUAACUCAAACACAACAAGUCGCUGACAUGUUCUUUUCUUCCCACAUCUUUUUUUCUCUUUUCACUCUGUUCUGAAUCUCACCAAUUAGGUAACACUUCACCCUCUGUGCUGAAUCGGACUCGCAUGUGAAAAACUCUUCUUCUAAAGAGUUUGCACGUACAUCUUUGUCCUUUCGGGUGCAAAGUCUCAUUCUUUUUUAGUGCAAAAUUUUCAAAGGUGAAAUCAGAGUUUGCAUGACUCUCCCCUGUUUUCAAUUCCUCUGUUUUGCUUCAAAAGGAACAAACGCGCUUGUGGGAUGGAUUCACUCCCCAACGAUAUUUGCAUGAAAUACCCACUUCUCUUUCGGUUAGUAUGGAUUCUCUGAAAGGUUUUCUUCACCAAAAAUGGAUCCUUUUUGGGAGUGCUUUUGGAUUUUUCUCUCUAAGCUUUUGAAUACUCUGCUUUGGGUAUUCACCAAAGUCAUCGUGAGAUUAUAUGGUUCUGAUUCUUAUAAAGCGAUGAAACCGCUUUGUUCUUCUGAGUUUGUAUGUGACAAUGAGAAAGCUGAGUCAAUUCAUUCCAAGUCUGAAUAUUUUGGGGCACUAAAUGAUACUCUCUCACAUGGAAGUGAUCAAAUUGAUUCUAAUGGUUUCCAGAAAGAAGCAGAGUCCAUGGAAAAAUGUUGUUCCGAAACUGUUCAUGAUAGUGGGAAUUCUGGACUUGAAGAAGAGGAAACACCAAAGUUGGUUUUCAAAUUUGAAUAUCAAAAGUGGAAUUGCAAUUAUGAUGAAGAAUUCAAAGGAGGGAAUGGUGAAAGUGGUGAUUUUGUGAAGGGGGGUGAUGCUGUUUCUGCUAGCACCAAUAAAUAUGAGUUCAUGUCAGGCACGAGUUUCAGCCACUUCUUGGAUGAACCCGAGGCUGAAAAUUUCACGUUCAAAGAAUGUUUUGUUCAUUCAAAUGAUGCUUUGGAAUUGGAAAAUCAUGUUGACAAUGAUUUUGGGUUCUUAUCAAGGAAGAAAUUCAUUCCAGAAAAUUGUGAUAGAGGGAUUAUGUCAGAAAAUCUUAACAGUUUCACAGAAAGUCCACACAAAGAGGUGUCAGAGAAGUUCAAAGCUGAGGAACCAAUGGGGCAGUCUGUAGAGCCAGUUGUUCGCAAUUUUCUUUCCGGGGAUGAUUUUAUUUGUUCAAGUUCUGACUCAGAUUCUGUUGUCAGUUCUUUGGGGGAGGGGUUUUUGUCAGACACAGACUUUGGAACCACUACUGAGUUUGACACAUUGGGAAGCAAUGCAACAGAAGAGGAUUUGGACUUUGGGGAUGAGAAAAACUAUGAGGAUUUGGAUGUUGGAUAUGACCCUGAUGAUUUUACUGAAGAGGAUGAAGAUAUAAUGGAUGAGCUUGGAAACUUGGAAGAAGAAUGUAGGCUGGAGAAGUCUUCAGGUAAAAAUUCUGAAGAUAGUAAUAGCAUCAAUUCCAAACAUGAACAAUCUGUGAAGCCUAAUUCACAGGCUUUAGCAACUAUUGAUCUUGAGGAUUCCAACCGUUUUGACACACUAUGGGAGCAUCAAGAUUUGAUAGAACAAUUGAAGAUGGAGCUGAAGAAGGUCAGAGCCACUGGUCUUCCUACCAUCCUUGAGGAUUCUGAGUCUCCAAGGAUAAUGGAAGACUUGAAGCCAUGGAAAAUUGAUGAAAAAUUACAGCAUGGUAGCACCACAAAUGAACUUCCAAAAUUCUACAGGAGUUACCGAGAACGAAUGCGAAAAUUCGAUAUCUUGAAUUACCAAAAGAUGUAUGCUUUAGGUGUUUUACAGUCAAAGGACCCACUCCAAUCAUUUUCAACCCGUAAGAACCCUUCACCAGCAUUCACAUCCAUUCUUACACGCGGCUUUCGCCUUUCUAGACGUAAAAACACUGAAGUUGACCCAAUGAGGAAGUUCAUAAGAGAGUUGUACAGUGAUUUGGAAAUGGUUUAUGUGGGGCAGUUGUGCCUUUCUUGGGAAUUUCUUCAGUGGGAAUAUGAGAAGGCCUUGAAGCUAUGGGAAUCUGACCAAUACGGGUUGCUAAGGUUCAAUGAAGUAGCAGGGGAAUUUCAACAAUUCCAUGUCCUUCUCCAAAGGUUUAUAGAGAACGAACCAUUCCUCCAAGGUCCACGGGUUGAAAACUAUGCUAGGAAUCGUUGUGCAAUGCGCAAUCUUCUUCAAGUUCCAGUAAUAAGAGUUUCAUACAUUAGAGACAAAAAAUUCCUCAUGGUUAUAGAAUCUUAAUUGGAUGCAGAAGACAAUAAGGAUAAAAGGAAAUUCAGAAAAAGAGAGGCUGAUAAAGAUGCAAUCACAAGUGACAUGCUAGUGGAGAUUUUGGAAGAAUCCAUCAGAACAAUUUGGCGUUUAAUAAGAGCUGAUAAAGAUGCAUCCAGCUUGGCACUUAAAGGUCAAAGAGAAAACCAAGUAGAGCUCCAAGACCCUUCAGAUUCACAGAUUUUGGUGGAGAUUAGAACGGAUCUUCAAAAGAAGGAAAAGAGACUGAGAGAGCUUUUGAGGAGUGGAAGCUGCAUAUUGAAGAAGUUCCAAAAGCAUCAUCAUGAAGAUGGGGCAGAUCAAGUGCUUUAUUUUUUCUCUCAAGUGGACAUGAAAUUGGUUUGGAGAGUGUUGAACAUGUCAAGAAUAACGACCGACCAACUCGCAUGGUGUCGUAGCAAACUAAACAAGAUCAAUUUUGUUAACAGAAGGAUACAUGUAGAGCCAUCAUUCUUACUUUUCCCUAGUUAAUAGUUAAUUGCAAAAGAUUUGUGUAUAUGUUCCUUCACAUUUAGAAGGCCAUUAUUAAAUUAGUAAAAAAUUUUGCAUAUAACUUUUCAACAAA